AGAUUAAGUUAUUAAGGGCGCACGGUGGAUGCCUUGGCACUAGAAGCCGAUGAAGGACGUUACUAACGACGAUAUGCUUUGGGGAGCUGUAAGUAAGCUUUGAUCCAGAGAUUUCCGAAUGGGGAAACCCAGCAUGAGUUAUGUCAUGUUAUCGAUAUGUGAAUACAUAGCAUAUCAGAAGGCACACCCGGAGAACUGAAACAUCUUAGUACCCGGAGGAAGAGAAAGAAAAUUCGAUUCCCUUAGUAGCGGCGAGCGAAACGGGAAGAGCCCAAACCAACAAGCUUGCUUGUUGGGGUUGUAGGACACUCUAUACGGAGUUACAAAGGACGACAUUAGACGAAUCAUCUGGAAAGAUGAAUCAAAGAAGGUAAUAAUCCUGUAGUCGAAAAUGUUGUCUCUCUUGAGUGGAUCCUGAGUACGACGGAGCACGUGAAAUUCCGUCGGAAUCUGGGAGGACCAUCUCCUAAGGCUAAAUACUCUCUAGUGACCGAUAGUGAACCAGUACCGUGAGGGAAAGGUGAAAAGCACCCCGGAAGGGGAGUGAAAUAGAACCUGAAACCGUGUGCUUACAAGUAGUCAGAGCCCGUUAAUGGGUGAUGGCGUGCCUUUUGUAGAAUGAACCGGCGAGUUACGAUUUGAUGCAAGGUUAAGCAGUAAAUGUGGAGCCGUAGCGAAAGCGAGUCUGAAUAGGGCGUUUAGUAUUUGGUCGUAGACCCGAAACCAGGUGAUCUACCCUUGGUCAGGUUGAAGUUCAGGUAACACUGAAUGGAGGACCGAACCGACUUACGUUGAAAAGUGAGCGGAUGAACUGAGGGUAGCGGAGAAAUUCCAAUCGAACCUGGAGAUAGCUGGUUCUCUCCGAAAUAGCUUUAGGGCUAGCCUCAAGUGAUGAUUAUUGGAGGUAGAGCACUGUUUGGACGAGGGGCCCCUCUCGGGUUACCGAAUUCAGACAAACUCCGAAUGCCAAUUAAUUUAACUUGGGAGUCAGAACAUGGGUGAUAAGGUCCAUGUUCGAAAGGGAAACAGCCCAGACCACCAGCUAAGGUCCCAAAAUAUAUGUUAAGUGGAAAAGGAUGUGGCGUUGCCCAGACAACUAGGAUGUUGGCUUAGAAGCAGCCAUCAUUUAAAGAGUGCGUAAUAGCUCACUAGUCGAGUGACACUGCGCCGAAAAUGUACCGGGGCUAAACAUAUUACCGAAGCUGUGGAUUGUCCUUUGGACAAUGGUAGGAGAGCGUUCUAAGGGCGUUGAAGCAUGAUCGUAAGGACAUGUGGAGCGCUUAGAAGUGAGAAUGCCGGUGUGAGUAGCGAAAGACGGGUGAGAAUCCCGUCCACCGAUUGACUAAGGUUUCCAGAGGAAGGCUCGUCCGCUCUGGGUUAGUCGGGUCCUAAGCUGAGGCCGACAGGCGUAGGCGAUGGAUAACAGGUUGAUAUUCCUGUACCACCUAUAAUCGUUUUAAUCGAUGGGGGGACGCAGUAGGAUAGGCGAAGCGUGCGAUUGGAUUGCACGUCUAAGCAGUAAGGCUGAGUAUUAGGCAAAUCCGGUACUCGUUAAGGCUGAGCUGUGAUGGGGAGAAGACAUUGUGUCUUCGAGUCGUUGAUUUCACACUGCCGAGAAAAGCCUCUAGAUAGAAAAUAGGUGCCCGUACCGCAAACCGACACAGGUAGUCAAGAUGAGAAUUCUAAGGUGAGCGAGCGAACUCUCGUUAAGGAACUCGGCAAAAUGACCCCGUAACUUCGGGAGAAGGGGUGCUCUUUAGGGUUAACGCCCAGAAGAGCCGCAGUGAAUAGGCCCAAGCGACUGUUUAUCAAAAACACAGGUCUCUGCUAAACCGUAAGGUGAUGUAUAGGGGCUGACGCCUGCCCGGUGCUGGAAGGUUAAGAGGAGUGGUUAGCUUCUGCGAAGCUACGAAUCGAAGCCCCAGUAAACGGCGGCCGUAACUAUAACGGUCCUAAGGUAGCGAAAUUCCUUGUCGGGUAAGUUCCGACCCGCACGAAAGGCGUAACGAUUUGGGCACUGUCUCAACGAGAGACUCGGUGAAAUCAUAGUACCUGUGAAGAUGCAGGUUACCCGCGACAGGACGGAAAGACCCCGUGGAGCUUUACUGUAGCCUGAUAUUGAAAUUCGGCACAGCUUGUACAGGAUAGGUAGGAGCCUUUGAAACGUGAGCGCUAGCUUACGUGGAGGCGCUGGUGGGAUACUACCCUAGCUGUGUUGGCUUUCUAACCCGCACCACUUAUCGUGGUGGGAGACAGUGUCAGGCGGGCAGUUUGACUGGGGCGGUCGCCUCCUAAAAGGUAACGGAGGCGCUCAAAGGUUUCCUCAGAAUGGUUGGAAAUCAUUCAUAGAGUGUAAAGGCAUAAGGGAGCUUGACUGCGAGACCUACAAGUCGAGCAGGGUCGAAAGACGGACUUAGUGAUCCGGUGGUUCCGCAUGGAAGGGCCAUCGCUCAACGGAUAAAAGCUACCCCGGGGAUAACAGGCUUAUCUCCCCCAAGAGUUCACAUCGACGGGGAGGUUUGGCACCUCGAUGUCGGCUCAUCGCAUCCUGGGGCUGUAGUCGGUCCCAAGGGUUGGGCUGUUCGCCCAUUAAAGCGGUACGCGAGCUGGGUUCAGAACGUCGUGAGACAGUUCGGUCCCUAUCCGUCGUGGGCGUAGGAAAUUUGAGAGGAGCUGUCCUUAGUACGAGAGGACCGGGAUGGACAUACCUCUGGUGUACCAGUUGUCGUGCCAACGGCAUAGCUGGGUAGCUAUGUGUGGACGGGAUAAGUGCUGAAAGCAUCUAAGCAUGAAGCCCCCCUCAAGAUGAGAUUUCCCAACUUCGGUUAUAAGAUCCCUCAAAGAUGAUGAGGUUAAUAGGUUCGAGGUGGAAGCAUGGUGACAUGUGGAGCUGACGAAUACUAAUCGAUCGAAGACUUAAUCAAAUU
rnacentral:rRNA from 1 species